rnacentral:lncRNA from 1 species
AGUCAAACCACUUUUAACUUCUCUCAGAUCAAGAUACAGUGAGUAUAUAUACCAAUUCCUCAGAAUAAAUGUAUUUAUUAUUCAUCACAAGCAUACACCAAUAGAAAAGGGGGGAUCAAUUGGCCAAAUGUUACUAUUCACAUUAAACACAGUACUAAAUGUAACAAAUAAUUAUUUGGCUUUUUUUCAACCCUAAGAGUUUAGCAGCUGAAGAAUCAGAGCUACGAUUUAGACAAUUAACGAAAGAAUACCAGGCACUCCAAAGAGCAUAUGCCCUCCUACAAGAGCAGACCGGAGGCAUCAUCGAUGCAGAACGGGAAGCCAAGGCUCAAGAACAGCUGCAAGCAGAGGUGCUGAGGUAUAAAGCCAAAAUUGAAGACCUGGAAGCAACACUGGCUCAGAAGGGGCAGGUAGGAGCUUGACUGCUAGCUCUUCUGCAGACACACACCUCCCACCUAACCAUCCUCGAGCCCACCCUGUGCAUGGGCACAUCCAG